UUUCUGAAUAGAUUUAUUGCAAUCUAAUAAUUUAUUAUAUUAUGCUGCUACUAUGUUAUAUUAUGUUAAUAUUAACUCUUUCGUUACGGCUGCGUAUCAUUACAUGGUACGACCCCAUAUGGAUCGCUAAUAAUGAAAGGGUUAAUAUAAUAAAUUUAAUAGAAUAUAAUAGGCUUAAUAUAACAAAUAAAAAACGAAAAGAAAAUUACUGUUGUCGUACCUAAUCUUUUUCUUUUUAAAUGCUAUAUACUCAGUAUUCAAGAACAUGCCUAAAAUAUUUAAAAUAAAAUAGGCAAGUGAGAAACAAUUAAUGAAAAUAAGUUAGUAGGAAGGAAGAAGAAGAAGAAGAAGAGAGGAAAAAAUGUAUGAUGGCAAUAUCAUAGAAGUUAAAUUCUUAUAAUUUUAGAGAGCAAACGCAUAUUUUAUAUAUCUUCUAGGCUCGUCAUCGAGGCACUUAUCUGUUAAAGACUGCAACGAUACCUGGAAAAUAUGAAGGAGUCAAUAAAUUUGAAACAAGGAAGGAAGAAGGAAACACACGAUUUGAAAUCUUAGAAAUAUACCGGAUAUACAACGAAUGUAUAUAAUACAUAUCGUAAUUAACGACGAUUUAAAACAAAUUGAAAUAAUGAUCGAGCGGAACACUCGACCCGGAUAUCGUGAUUCUAUUAAUGAACAUCCGAGUUGAAUUGUCUGGCAAAAAGGACGAAAAUAGAAAGCCGGAAAUUCUCGUUAAUAUGAGAACAAUUGAAUAAGGUUCAGACGACCGUUUACUGUUAGCCCCGUACUACUUUACUUCCGCUUUCUCGAUUUUCAGACAUUGAAAAGGAUCCGCUACGAAAUGAAACGAAACGAAACGAAACGUUAGGAGGAAAUUAAUUGAAUUUUAUCACGUGCCUUUUCGAUAUUAAAUUAACAACAAAAUUCGCAACUUUACUCCAGAAGAAGGUGCUCGGUAUUUGAUUAAAUUAAACGGGGACUUGGCUAAUCUAGAGUACUUAUUACAUGUGUGAUUCUGUGUGUAAGUGAAUAGUAUGGUCGAUAGAUUUCUAUAAAAAAAAAAAAGAAGAAGUUUAACGAUAUACAUAAUCGUCAAAAGUUUGUCACCUUUAACGUUAACACGAUUUUUAUUCAACACGAAUGAAGUUCUUUUUUUCGUCAUAGCACAUGACGUCUUUAAUUCAUUUUAAUAUUUAAAUUCAAAUAUAUACAUAGGGUGAGAUAAAAGCUGCUUCUUUCAGAAGUUUUUGUACAGAAAAAUUUGGAUGAGUUAACCACAGUUGACCGAACAGUAAUUCCAGAAUUUGGACACCAACCGAAUCGUGUAUUGAGUAUAAUGGACACCAAUUUGAACAAUUUAUGUGAAUAAAUCCAGAAAAUUAAUAUAUAAAAAAUAGUUCGUUUAGUUAUUUUGGGGAAAACAAACAUUUAUCUCAUUUUGUAUAUGGAAGCUAGUACAAACGAGUGUACAUAUGUUUAUGAAGAAAAAAUAUACGAAAAGAAAACAAAAACGAAGCUAUCGCGAUAAAGAUCGAAGAUUAUUUUUGGAGAGGAUCUUUAAAUAUUAAACGUAAAAAGAAUAUAAAUAUUCACGUGUUUAUUUAAGGGACAUAUUUGAAAAAUACGUUUCCAAUAUUACACACCAUUGCGAUAUACUUUGUUAAAUUAAAAUGAAAAUUAUUAAACGAUAGCAAUAAGUCAAA
rnacentral:lncRNA from 1 species